UUGGGCUGAAAACUCACCUACAGGCUAGGAUGGCUUACACAAGGAUACUGGCUAUAUCAGGAGUAUGUACUUCAUCAAAUUUGGCUCUCUGGUGUCUUCCUGUGUCCUUCAGUAGUAUCUCAGUGGGUCUGGCUGUCUUGAAUAGUUCUCUAUAGCAGUACAACAUCUACUGCUUCCCACAGGCAGCAUGGCCAAUGGCUCUUUGCAAGAGCAGUCGUCCCCAAUUUAGGACUGUUACAGCAACACAGGGUAAGCUGGACUCAGGGAAACCAAGACCCUCCUGAGGCCACCUGUGCCAGGACAGUCCCAGAGGAUUGGCUUCGCUUCUGGAGGAAGUUGUUUCUAGGGAUGACUUGAAGAACUGGUGGAGGAGCUGACAUGAGGCUUGCUUUGGAGGGUCCAGGGUUUAUGCAGGUGUAGAGGCAUGAGUUUAUUCAUACCUUGGUAUCUGCAGACAAGGAACAAGUGCACUGAUGGAGCAGCUGACUUUUACACUAGCAUUUCCAGAAGCUGGGUGACAUUUCUAGUGAAGGAGGAACCAUAAAAUCUCUGGCUAUUCACAGCUCGUGCUGUCUAAGAGGCAAGUUGCUGCUUUCAGCAACUUUGCCCAUACUUUGACUGUGAGAACAGUUAGGGGAAGCUCCCCAGGGACAGGGCAUCACUUUUCUCCUCUGCUAUUCUUGUAAGAAAUCCCAGAUCUUCCUCAUUUUAUGCUGUUUCCCACUGUCAGUGAGCAGCAAGAACUGCUCAGUGAGAGAUGAAUGAAGACCAAGGGUGACAACAAGAUGGAUGUGGGGUGUGGUCUUUUAGAACAGCAUCUCAUUGCCAUGGAGCCCAAACAAGAUGAGCUUGUUGGGUAACAGUAUCCAGGGCCAGCCAAAAGCCCAGAUCACCAGACAAAACCACAGUGAUCAGUCAGAUCCCAGGUCAAGUCAGCGUCCAUACUGAUGCGCAGAAUACCACAGUAGAGGCAGCGAGAAGGAAGUGUGUCUGGAAGGGAGAUAACUGCAGAAGUGCUCUACAGCAGGGAAAAUAACGUCAUCAGAUUUGGGAAACUGCAGGGAUAAUGAAAACCUACUUUAAACAUAGUGGUCACGGAGUAUGGGUUACCACAUUCCUCACGCUCUGCAUCAGGAGAGGUUUGGUUCUGUAUCAUGGCAAAGGGGAAACCUGUCUGUCUAUGGAGCUCUUGGACCCAGCCAGCCAGCAUGGGAAGACCCACAGCUUGCUUCCACCAGUGGGUACUGCUCCCCUUGACCUAAAAUUGGCACUUGGUUACAAGGGGACCUGAAUGGAUGGAGGAGCAUGGGUAGAGGUUAACAUUUUCCCCUCGUAUGCCCCAUCAUGAAGAAGAUCCACUAUCUAGAAACCAGACAUCCUUGCAUUGAAGAUCGUAAUAAAAUUGAGGCAAUCUGCCAUGGCUGGACCUCAUUGGUGUCAUUUGCACCAGCUCUGCAUGGCUGCAAGGAGGCAGGGUGACAGUGCAACACACUGUGUUGUGGUUGGAAUAUGUGCAUGGGGUAGGAGUGACCUUUAACACCUCCUAAUCAUAAUGCAAACCAAUGCUGAAUGCCUCAUGGACUGCCAGUUUCCUAAAGACUACGGUGCCGUGACCCUGCUGUUUUGAUCAGGUACUAAGUGAUACACAUUAACUAGCACAUGUUAAUAUCCUGGGAUGGAUGGAGAAACUGUGGUUUGAUCUACUACAGCCAGAUACAUUUAGCUAGCCCAGAUUUGAUUAACCAGCACAUUUACCAUCACAAGGCAUGAUGCCCAGUUUCAGACUUUGGCAUGUGUCAGUGAUACGUUUUUUCUCCUAAACACUAUGUCUAAGAGCUACAAGGCUUACUACCUGUGCUAUAGGAAAUGGGCAUUUUUUAUCAGAAGCAUCUCAAUUUAGAAUUGCAGUGCCACCAAAGCAGUUUUUAGUGCUCACGUCAUCAAAGGUUAUCAAGAGCCUUCGAGUGGACUUGACAUGAUUUCACUAGCUCAGACUGAGAACUUCUCUUGUGAGCAAAGACAAUUUUAGGUGAAUAAUUACUGCAGCAAAGGUGAAGAUUUACUGGGGUGGCUCAGGAUGCUUCUACUCCUCCUGAUGCCAGCAAGCAGCAUGCAUCACCAUUCUGUGUCGUACAGCCACUGCCUCCUGCACUCUCCCACAGAUUGGGCUGUCCCUGCCCCUCGUUAAUGCAGCUCUGAUUACAGCAUCCUAAGUGCGGCGGAUUUGCUUUCGUGUUCUUGCAUCACAGUAUUAACCUGCCCUGACAUUGCUUCCUUCCAGAGACCUGAGGUCAGUUUGCUGCAGAGGUUUCACCCAAGUGUACAACAGAAAUAGAGGCAUAUUUCAGUAGCUUCUGUUCUGCAUAACAAGCUUUAGUUUCUACUCCUAUAUAUGUUGUAUGUGCGUGUGUAUAUAUCACAUGUAGAAUAUCACAGAUGCAGUGUGUAAGUGGAAUAAGCCCCCUUCCCCUUGUAUGCCUUAACGGGAGAAAAUUCAAAUGUAGUUAUGUUUCUGGUAUCGAGUCAUACCCAUCACAGCUGGCUAUAUUGCUACCACAUCCCAUUCAUUGCGGGAGACGUUCUACAUAUUUAAAGCCUGCAAAUAAUUGCACAUUUGGUACUGUCUUGUUAAGAAAAACAUAUCAUGUUCUUGUUGUCUCAGUAACUUCAGUGUGUAAGAAGCCAGCAAAGCAGCUAGUCCCCAAGCUCACGCAUCAAAGCAUUUGGCUGCUUUCACAUGAUUAUUGGCAGAAAUGGCAAUUUUAUUUUAAAACCUCCCGUGAUCUGAUCUCAAGAUCUAUUUGGAUCUUCAGUCCCCAUGGUAAUAGCAUCUUAAAUCCUGAAAAUAACAAUGUGCACAGCUAUUUUGACUGGAUAAACUAGACGACACACGCAUAAGGCUAAGCAUAUGGGCACAUGUUUGCAGUGAGAGGGUUUCGUUUCAGCCAUGAAAGUAAAUAGCUAUUUUCUGAGCACAUAGAGAGAUCUGCUCUACUGGGUCAGAUGUGUCAAGUGCGAGAGUGCUAUUUUUACACCACCACUUUUAAAGUAGGCCGGCAUUCAUCCUUCUGAACGGCUUCCUAACGAUAUCAGAUGUAUUCCGGGUACUGUGAACCCAUUUGGCUUUAAUCUGCUCAGCAAAAUACCACUGAAAUGGUGACAUGGGAGAGGAGAGGUAGCAAAAUGGAUCCUGGCCUCACUUUGUAUUUUUACGUGUCCCCCCUUCGAACUGAAGCAUUUAA